rnacentral:rRNA from 1 species
CCUACGGGAGGCUGCAGUGGGGAAUAUUGGGCAAUGGGCGCAAGCCUGACCCAGCAACGCCGCGUGAAUGAAGAAGGCUUUCGGGUUGUAAACUUCUUUUCUCAGGGACGAAGCAAGUGACGGUACUUGAGGAAUAAGCUACGGCUAACUACGGGCCAGCAGCCGCGGUAAUACGUAGGGGGGAAGCGUUAUCAGGAUUUACUGGGAGGAAAGGGCGUGUAGGCGGGGACGCAAGUCAGAUGUGAAAACCACGGGCUCAACCUGUGACCUGCAUUUGAAACUGUGUGUCUUGAGUACUGGAGAGGCAGACAGAAUUCCUGGUGUAGCGGUGAAAUGCGUAGAGAUUAGGAGGAACACCAGUGGCGAAGGCGGUCUGCUGGAC